rnacentral:tRNA from 1 species
GGAGAGGUGGUCGAGCGGCCGAAGGCGCUGGUCUUGAAAACCAGAGAUGGGAAACUAUCCGUGGGUUCGAAUCCCACCCUCUCCGCCA